rnacentral:snRNA from 1 species
AAUAGUGCCUUACUCUAUGGCUGCGACAUCUGUCACCCCAUUGAUCGCCAGGGUUGAUUCGGCUGAUCUGGCUGGCUAGGCGGGUGUCCCCUUCCUCCCUCACCACUCCAUGUGCGUCCCUCCCGAAGCUGCGCGCUCGGUUCGAAGAGGACGACCUUCCCCGAAUAGAGGAGGACCGGUCUUCGGUCAAGGGUAUACGAGUAGCUGCGCUCCCCUGCUAGAACCUCCAAACAAGCUCAAGGUGCCUUACUCUAAAUGGAUGAAAUAAGGCAGUUCCCUUCCCCCUCCUCAAAAAAAUGCCAUAGAAAAAAUAGUUAAAACAUCACAGUAUAAAAUG